rnacentral:rRNA from 1 species
AUACUGCUGGCCCUUGGGACCGGGAGAGGCGGAGGGUACCCCUGGGGUAGGGGUGAAAUCCUAUAAUCCCAGGGGGACCGCCAGUGGCGAAGGCGCUCCGCUGGAACGGGUCCGACGGUGAGGGACGAAGGCCAGGGGAGCAAACCGGAUUAGAUACCCGGGUAGUCCUGGCUGUAAAGGAUGCGGGCUAGGUGUCGGGCGAGCUUCGAGCUCGCCCGGUGCCGAAGGGAAGCCGUUAAGCCCGCCGCCUGGGGAGUACGGCCGCAAGGCUGAAACUUAAAGGAAUUGGCGGGGGAGCACUACAAGGGGUGGAGCGUGCGGUUUAAUUGGAUUCAACGCCGGGAACCUCACCGGGGGCGACGGCAGGAUGAAGGCCAGGCUGAAGGUCUUGCCGGACACGCCGAGAGGAGGUGCAUGGCCGCCGUCAGCUCGUACCGUGAGGCGUCCACUUAAGUGUGGUAACGAGCGAGACCCGCGCCCCCAGUUGCCAGUCCUCCCCGCUGGGGAGGAGGCACUCUGGGGGGACCGCCGGCGAUAAGCCGGAGGAAGGAGCGGGCGACGGUAGGUCAGUAUGCCCCGAAACCCCCGGGCUACACGCGCGCUACAAUGGGCGGGACAAUGGGAUCCGACCCCGAAAGGGGAAGGGAAUCCCCUAAACCCGCCCUCAGUUCGGAUCGCGGGCUGCAACUCGCCCGCGUGAAGCUGGAAUCCCUAGUACCCGCGUGUCAU